GCCUGGCUGGCUCAGUCGGUAGAGCAUGAGACUCUUGAUCUUGGGGUCAUGAGUUCAAGCCCCACGUUGGGCA